GCCACGGUAGCCCAGUUGGUAGGGGCGUCGGCAGUACGGAUUCCGAAGGUCGCAGGUUUAUAUCCUGACUGCGGUG